rnacentral:misc_RNA from 1 species
GCUCCUUCAGUCCUAAUUCCUUGUCGCCUCAACUACCGCCGCCGACUAUUAUCACUCGCCGACAACGCAGCUACCAACAUCCGCCACUAAUACGGUGCGAUCCGGCCUCUUCGGAUCCUCUCCAGCGGAACUCAAAGCAAAAUCCUCUCAGUUUCUUCCACAUUCCCGCUCAUAGGGUGUUCCAGCGACUGCUGAGUUCGGUCUGUAUAUUUGCUCACGGUUCAAGCGUAGCACAUCUUGUCUCAGUACCAAAGCCCUGCUACAGGUUGCCA